rnacentral:lncRNA from 1 species
CCUACUACUUGUAGUCUUGUGCAGUGCAGACAGCAGAGCACUAGUAGGCCACCAGACUUUCUGGCGGCCGGAGGUGGAGAGGAACGGCGGCCAUCAUCCUCGAGACCUGGACAUCGUUGUUGGUCUCCUUUGCCGUCUUGCGAAUGCCACUCGAUUACAGAGACAUGCUCCUCCUCCUGUCUCCUGAUGCAGCCUUCUGACGAAAUGGGAGACAUAGGCAAAGGCUUAUACAUGGCCAAAGGACCUACGGAUUGUUCUCAUGGCCGAAAGCUUUUCAGCAAAACCUCCUGCACCAUCCGCUUGGACAAAAGGGAGAGAGGUCGAUCCUAGCCAGCCAUGCCACCACUUGCCGGAUUCCGAUGAAGCCAGCAGCGAAUUCGCACCGCUGCUUUUCUUCAGCGGCCCAAUCUCCAUCAAACGGAAACAUCGCAUUUUCCCCUGAUCUAGUAGCACAACGAAAAAGAGCAUAGAAAAGUACCGGUUCUUGGAAUGUGUUGUGCGUAGAAAAGUUCUGCAGCUCGCCUGGAUGGAAGCCUGGACGGACGCUCGCAGUUCGUUUGGACGGACGCCUGCUCGCAGUUCGCCUGGACGGAUGGCCA